rnacentral:rRNA from 1 species
UACGUAGGGUGCAAGCGUUACUCGGAAUUACUGGGCGUAAAGCGUGCGCAGGCGGUUCGGAAAGAAAGAUGUGAAAUCCCAGAGCUUAACUUUGGAACUGCAUUUUUAACUACCGAGCUAGAGUGUGUCAGAGGGAGGUGGAAUUCCGCGUGUAGCAGUGAAAUGCGUAGAUAUGCGGAGGAACACCGAUGGCGAAGGCAGCCUCCUGGGAUAACACUGACGCUCAUGCACGAAAGCGUGGGGAGCAAACAGG